UACGUAGGGGGCAAGCGUUGUCCGGAUUUAUUGGGCGUAAAGAGCGUGUAGGCGGCUAGGUAGGUCCGUUGUGAAAACUCGAGGCUCAACCUCGAGACGUCGAUGGAAACCAUCUAGCUAGAGUCCGGAGGAGGAGAGUGGAAUUCCUGGUGUAGCGGUGAAAUGCGCAGAUAUCAGGAAGAACACCCGUGGCGAAGGCGGCUCUCUGGUAUGUGACUGACGCUGAGACGCGAAAGCGUGGGGAGCGAACAGG
rnacentral:rRNA from 1 species